UGAGGGCAGGACCGUAUGAGGUGU
rnacentral:miRNA from 1 species